UACGGAGGGUGCGAGCGUUGUCCGGAAUCACUGGGCGUAAAGGGCGCGUAGGCGGUCUCUUAAGCGUGUGGUGAAAGCCCGGGGCUCAACUCCGGGUCGGCCGUGCGAACUGGGGGACUGGAGCUUGUCAGAGGCAGGCGGAAUUCCCGGUGUAGCGGUGGAAUGCGUAGAGAUCCGGAAGAACACCGGUGGCGAAGGCGGCCUGCUGGGACAGUGCUGACGCUGAGGCGCGACAGCGUGGGGAGCAAACAGG
rnacentral:rRNA from 1 species